AACGCAUUUGCAGUGCAUAAUUAUUGAUGGCCAAUUGGGAGAUUAGGAGAUGGUCAAGCCUCUCAUGGAGGAAAUAGCUGCGUGCCAUGCUUAAUAUGCAGGUUGCAUGUUGGGAAAAUACAGGUCAGCCAAUGGGAAAGGAGGAACCCAAUGGGCAUACGUCGUGAUAAAGACGUCUUUUACUGGUUGAAAUCUGGUCGGGACGUCUUAUAACUAGAUCACAACCGGAUUAAGACAUCUUAUCAAUUCAUUAACACCAAUCUAUACAAACGUUAGCUAGUUUUAAGUAGCUAACGUUAGUCCUCUGGCUAAUCCUCCAUGGACAUGUUUCUGAAUCUUCUAGCUUGGAUGGGAGGAGGGAACAAGGGGAAGUUAUCCAGUCUGCCGACCAAGAAAUUUUCUGAAACAUAUAAGUGACCUGAUGCAUGGCCUCUACAGCAGUGCUUGGCCAGCCACUCAGUUACGAAUGACUUAUUCAGCCACAUUCCAGGGAGAGAGCAGAACCACCCCUCAUUCAAUCCAUAGUUACUGAAGAUCUGCCCCAUCACACCAGUCUUCAAGAGGGCCACUAUGCUCCAGAUCUGACCCAUCACACCACUCUUCAAGAGGGCCACUAUACUCCAGAUCUGACCCAUCACACCACUCUUCAAGAGGGCCACUAUGCUCCAGAUCUGACCCAUCACACCACUCUUCAAGAGGGCCACUACGUUCUAGAUCUGACCCAUCACACCAGUCUUCAAGAGGGCCACUAUGCUCCAGAUCUGACCCAUCACACCACUCUUCAAGAGGGCCACUACGUUCUAGAUCUGACCCAUCACACCAGUCUUCAAGAGGGCCACUGUGCUCCAGAUCUGACCCAUCACACCACAUUUCAAGAGGGCCACUAUGCUCCAGAUCUGACACAUCACACCAGUCUUCAAGAGGGCCACUAUGAUCUAUCACAAAUGUGA
rnacentral:lncRNA from 1 species